rnacentral:rRNA from 1 species
UGGGGCUACACACGUCAUACAAUGGCCGGUACAGAGGGUAGCAACCCGCAGGGGGAGCCAAUCCCACAAAGCCGAUCGUAGUCCGGAUCGCAGUCUGCAACUCGACUGCGUGAAGUCGGAAUCGCUAGUAAUCGUGGAUCAGCAUGUCACGGUGAAUACGUUCCCGGGUCCUU